rnacentral:misc_RNA from 1 species
CGUCGACGGACGCACCGUCUAUGAGCAUGUGUAAGUUCGGCCGGCAGCAGCGCUUGAUUACGAUAUGUGAGGCAUCAUGAGCGGCUUUCUGACGGCCUUCGUGCUCAGUUUCGUGCUGGCCUUCCUNNNNNNNNNGUGCGGAUCGAUUCCAUUCGGGUUGAUCCUGACGAAACUCGCCGGCACGCAGGACCUGCGCUCGAUCGGCUCAGGCAAUAUCGGCGCGACCAAUGUGUUGCG